GUGAGAGGCCUGGGUCCCUUCUUCCUGGCAUCAGCUGGGAGGCCUGGGUCCCUUCUUCCUGGCAUCAGCUGAGAGGCCUGGGUCCCUUCUUCCUGGCAUCAGCUGAGAGGCCUGGGUCCCUUCUUCCUGGCAUCAGCUGAGAGGCCUGGGUCCCUUCUUCCUGGCAUCAGCUGAGAGGCCUGGGUCCCUUCUUCCUGGCAUCAGCUGAGAGGCCUGGGUCCCUUCUUCCUGGCAUCAGCUGAGAGGCCUGGGUCCCUUCUUCCUGGCUCCAGGUAGGAGAACUGGGUCACUUCUUCCUAGCCCCAAGAGAGAGUCUUGGGUCUUCUGGUCACUUUUUCCUGGCUCCUCGGAUCCUUUGCUCCUGGCUUCUCUGGUUCUUUGCUCCUAGCUCCAGGUGGGAGACCUGGGUCACUUCUUCCUGGCCUCAGGUGGGAGUCUUGGGUCUUCUGGUCACUUUUUCCUGGCUCUUCAGAUCCUUUCCUGCUGGCAUCAGCUGGGGGGCCCGGGUCCCUUCUUCCUGGCUCCGACACGCCGGGGUCCCUUCUUCCUGGCUCCGACACGCCGGGGUCCCUUCUUCCUGGCUCCGACACGCCGGGGUCCCUUCUUCCUGGCUCCGACACGCCGGGGUCCCUUCUUCCUGGCUCCGACACGCCGGGGUCCCUUCUUCCUGGCUCCGACACGCCGGGGUCCCUUCUUCCUGGCUCCGACACGCCGGGGUCCCUUCUUCCUGGCUCCGACACGCCGGGGUCCCUUCUUCCUGGCUCCGACACGCCGGGGUCCCUUCUUCCUGGCUCUAGGUGGGAGUCUUGGGUCUUUGGGUCCCUUCCUCCUGGCUCCAGGUGGGAGUCUUGGGUCUUUGGGUCCCUUUCUCCCGGCAUCAGGUGAGAGGCCCGGGUCAUUUUCUGGCAUCAGGCGAGAGGCCUGGGUCACUUCUUCCUGGCUCCAAGUGGGUGUCUUGGGUCUUUGGGUCCUUUCUUCCUGGCUCCAAGUGGGAGUCUUGGGUCUUUGGGUCCCUUUCUCCUGGCAUCAGGUGAGAGGCCUGGGUUACUUCUUCCUGUCCCCAAGUGGGAGUCUUGCGUCUUCUGGUCACUUUUUCCUGGCUCCUCAGGUCCUUUCUUCCUGGCAUAAGCUGGGAAGGCCUGGGUCCCCUCUUCCUGGCAACAGCUGGGAUGGCCUGGGUCCCCUCUUCCUGGCAACAGCUGGGAUGGCCUGGGUCCCCUCUUCCUGCCAUCAGCUGGGAUGGCCUGGGUCCCCUCUUCCUGCCAUCAGCUGGGAUGGCCUGGGUCCCCUCUUCCUGCCAUCAGCUGGGAUGGCCUGGGUCCCCUCUUCCUGCCAUCAGCUGGGAUGGCCUGGGUCCCCUCUUCCUGCCAUCAGCUGGGAUGGCCUGGGUCCCCUCUUCCUGCCAUCAGCUGGGAUGGCCUGGGUCCCCUCUUCCUGCCAUCAGCUGGGAUGGCCUGGGUCCCCUCUUCCUGCCAUCAGCUGGGAUGGCCUGGGUCCCCUCUUCCUGCCAUCAGCUGGGAUGGCCUGGGUCCCCUCUUCCUGCCAUCAGCUGGGAUGGCCUGGGUCCCCUCUUCCUGCCAUCAGCGGGGAAGGCCUGGGUCGCCUCUUCCUGGCAUCAGCGGGGAAGGCCUGGGUCGCUUCUUCCUGGCUCCGAGAUGCCUGGGUUGCUUCUUCCUGGCUCCGAGAUGCCUGGGUCGCUUCUUCCUGGCUCCGAGAUGCCUGGGUCGCUUCUUCCUGGCUCCAGGUGUGAGUCUUGGGCCUUUGGGUCCCUUCCUCCUGGCAUCAGGUGAGAGGCCUGGGUCACUUCUUGGCUCCAGGUGAGAGGCCUGGGUCACUUCUUGGCUCCAGGUGAGAGGCCUGGGUCACUUCUUGGCUCCAGGUGAGAGGCCUGGGUCACUUCUUGGCUCCAGGUGAGAGGCCUGGGUCACUUCUUGGCUCCAGGUGAGAGGCCUGGGUCACUUCCUGGCUCCAGGUGGGAGAACUGGCUCCUCGGGUCCUUUGCUCCUGACUCCUCGGGUCCUUUGCUCCUGACUCCUCGGGUCCUUUGCUCCUGACUCCUCGGGUCCUUUGCUCCUGACUCCUCGGGUCCUUUGCUCCUGACUCCUCGGGUCCUUUGCUCCUGACUCCUCGGGUCCUUUGCUCCUGGCAUCAGCUGGGAGGCCUGGGUCCCUUCUUCCUGGCAUCAGCUGGGAGGCCUGGGUCCCUUCUUCCUGGCAUCAGCUGGGAGGCCUGGGUCCCUUCUUCCUGGCAUCAGCUGGGAGGCCUGGGUCCCUUCUUCCUGGCAUCAGCUGGGAGGCCUGGGUCCCUUCUUCCUGGCAUCAGCUGGGAGGCCUGGGUCCCUUCUUCCUGGCAUCAGCUGGGAGGCCUGGGUCCCUUCUUCCUGGCAUCAGCUGGGAGGCCUGGGUCCCUUCUUCCUGGCAUCAGCUGGGAGGCCUGGGUCCCUUCUUCCUGGCAUCAGCUGGGAGAACUAGGUCCUUGGGUCCUUUCCUCCUGGCUCCAGGUAGGCGGCCUGGGUCACUCUUCCUCUCUCCAGUUGGGAGUCUUGGAUCUUCUGGUCCCUUCCUCCUGGCUCCAAUUGGGAGUCUUGGAUUUUUUGGUCCCUUCCUCCUGGCUCCCGGGGGGAGUCUUAGAUCUUCCGGUCCCUUCUUCCCGCCUCCAGUUGGGAGUCUUGGGUCUUCUGGUCCCUUUUUCCUGGCUCCAGGUGGGAGGCCUGUGUUCCUUCUUCAUGGCUCCAGGUGGGAGGCCUGUGU
ensembl:lncRNA